GGAAACCAGAAUAGACAUCUGUGUAAGGAUGUUCUCUGAAGCACUGUCUAACACUAUUUUACAGGAGCAAAAGCUUGGAGUGAAAUAAUAACAGCGUGGUGAGGAGGCUGCUGGUCAGAUACUCUGCUGUAUAUGGAAACUAUGGGAUUCUGUUCUGCCAGUUAAAGAUGAUGCCACAGAAAUCUUCGAAUGUUGUAGAAAGAUGGAUGUGAUCAGUAUCCUUGCAGCCUGCAUCCAUCAACACAAGACUGCAGUCUUUGGCUGCCGAGGCUGAAGCCGAGUCAGAGCUCUCACCUCUUCUGGAACUGACCCUGACAAUGGCAGAUGAUAUGGAAAUGAAUAGGACCGGCAAUUGGAGUGUGAGAGUACUAAUGCUGAGGACCUCUCAGUGGAUCAUUCAGAAGCAGGGCCUAGUUGGAGG
rnacentral:lncRNA from 1 species